GCGGUGCACGGUGACGUGCUCUUGUUUUACAACGAUAAAAAUUACAACGAAUUAGCGAAACCGGCCGUUUUAUCCCCGGUCUAUGCCGGGCUGAAGUAUCGCGCGAGUAAAUUCGAGUGCGUUUAGAGUACUGAAGUGGCUGAAAGUUCCGUGGUAAAUGCAAUUUUCGUCGAACGUCGCGAUCACGUUGGUCGCGUUGACGGGCAUAUUUUUAAAAAACGGAGAGGAACAACGCGCUCGGGGUUCGUUGAAUGACGUUAAUCGCUUUUAGUGUUCUCGUGCGGAUCGUUUAAUGGCAUCUAAUUUCACGUGGCCCUGGGAGAGAGCGAGAGAAAGAGAGAGAGUGAGGGAGAGAGAGGGAGAGAGAGAGAGAGAGAGAGAGAGAGAGUAUUCGGUAGAGUUUACAGCGUCGUAAUUUAUCGACGUCGAGGCUUCGAUCUGCUGCCUGUUGAUCGUGGGAGCCCAGUGUCCUUAACGGGUACAGGGGCCGCCUCCUGGUGUAACUAUCAGCCGUGGGGCCAAGAAACGAGAGACGAUGCCUUCGAUACUUCGACGAUAUAAUCCGCUCUCGUUUUCCUUUGAUCCAUCUUCGACGAAUCGGUGAAACAGUUGGAACAGCCUUCUACUUCGUUGUCAAGUUCGCAAGAAUUAGAUCGCGAAGCAGUCGAAGCUUUUGGUACGCGUCGGAUCCGCGAUGUGGAUACGUAAGGGAUGAGGAGGAGGAUUCGUCCGGGGGAUUCGCAGGAUUACGUGCAGGAAAAAUGUGGCUCCAGGCCAGAAACGGAAUGUCGUUACGCUGGGGUAACGAUAGGUACGGGUAAGGCCAUUGUCGAAUAACCUGACUAGACUACACAGCUUCUAUCACCGGAAAAGUAAAAAGAAAUGGUCAUCCAGGCAUUUACGAUCCUCGGAGGUCAUUCCUUUGCAAAUUCAUAACGAAUCAAAGAUCUUCUUUCUGUUUUCUAAGCUCUUUGCUGUCGUUAAUUAAAGUAAUUUCAUGUCGUUCAACUCUUUCGAUUUAAAAAUCGAAACAAACGAAUUGCAUUUCCAAUCCUCUUCAAACGUUUAUCGAAUAUUCAACGUUGUUGCGCGAAUCGUUUUAUGUUACAAACUAUUAGAGACUAGUUGCUACGAAAAUGACGUGGAAGUUUGAAAUUUAAAAUAAGAAAUAAAAAUUGUACCGUUUGAAAGUUGACGUCUGAAGUUUCAAAACUCGAUAUUCGAAGCACGAAAUUUGAAAUUUGAGAAAACCUUACUACAGCCACUGAUGCCAAUUAAUGCCGCAAAAGUAACGUCUGACCUGCAAUUACUUUCUCUACUUUGAAACGCAGUACGCUCGAAUAACCGGGCAGUGUAUACACGUUGAAUGUAAUUUCGAGACUACUAAUUGAAGAAAAAUCAUCGCUAUCGAAUACCCGGAGAACGAUGCAAGCGAUUCGAAGACCGGGUAUCCAAAUGCAAAUUCCGAAAUUACUAGAAUUCGUAGGAAGCUGAAGCUGUAAGGAAACGAUCUGGAUGCAGAGUAAAGACAGCGCAAGACUGAAACGUGUAAUCUUUUUCCCGUUGUGCGGCCUCAUCAAGAUCAAUUAGACCAGUAUAGUCUGACGAUCCUCGGUCGUUAACGAUAUAUCAAUUACAGCAUAGACGUAGGUAAUAACUAUUAAUGACUUCAUUCAGGGCACAGUAAUUACAGAUGUCCGAGCACGACCAAGAAUCUGGGUCGACGCGAUUCUGAACUAGCGAAUCUACUAGCUGUCGACAUAGAAAAAAAAAGAAGAAGAAAGUACGAAUUCGCGGUUCCACGUGCGAGUAAAACAAACUUUUAUCCUACAUCGCAGCGAAUCUUCGAGUUUAUUAAUAGUUUCUGGAAAAGAUAGAAUUGAACGCGUCUCUUAUAGCGUACCGCUCUUUAAAAUGAUUUUUCCAUCGUAAGGCUAGAAGUAAUUUGAAACAUUAAACGUGUUUUCAAUUUCUUCUUCGACUCCGAAGAUGCGCGCCGCGUAAGAAUGUCAAAAUGCAUGCUUGUACGCUUUCGUUACGCCAAAGGGGAUUCAAUUUUUCAAACAUUUGAACCUUUACGCUGUCAUAAAAUACUCGUGGACACGUGUGAAGCAUAUGCAAACUUAUGUACACGAGGCACACAAAGUUUGUAAAACGUUUUUCGAAGGACCUUUUCUAAAGUCGUAAAUCAAAGAGAAAUUUAGGUGCGUCCCUAGAGGUUUUCUAAUGUCAGAAAUACAGAGAAACUUAGUUGAAGCUCCAGGUACAGACUGUGGGGAAAACCAACCUUAGGAUGCUAUAACGGAAACAAUGUUGACACUGUUCAGUCACGACAAGUAAUCGUACAAUAUUGCCACCAGGCGUUGCCCAAGAGCCGAGGUGCUUCGAAUCGGAACGACAGGUUGUGCAGCUGCUUUUUCUACGAUCGACGCCCGAACGUCGACCUCUUAGCGACGAUCAGUCGUGACUAAUCGAGAUUGGAGCGGAUUAUCACGUUUCUUUCUUUUAUUUUAGUAGCGGUAGAACAGUCGAAAGCGCCUCGACAGUUACGGCGCGAUUCUACUUGGUAAUCCGUUAGAUGAUCUGUCCGUAUCAACCGUUCUGUAUCAUAUAUCCUGGGACGUUAAUAUUAAAUUUUUAAUUUCCUAAGAAAAUUCUAGCUCGUAGAAUAAAACAAACCAACUUUAUAACCGUUAAUUUACGAUUACUUAAAUGUUGGCAAAUAAUUUAAUUGGCGAUAGAAAUCGCCGGAUGAAAUAUCCAUUAAUGAUACAAGAAGAUGUUGAAAGAUAGAUCUGGUUAUAUCAUUCGAUAGCUCGUUUCAUAUCCUGUUUGAAACAGGAGAGCGCCACGAAAUUGACUGGGACGGUGUUCAGAGUCGAUUUGGGCAGGACUCGUCUAUGCAGAGGACGUAUCGUGGGACGAAAGGAGAGGAAAGCAUCGACGAAAUACAAUUUGAAAGACGUAAUUCGAAAAUCGUUGUACGCCCGACGGCAGCGACCCUCCGUCGGACGUCAAAAUGAAAUUACGCGACCCUCGACGCGGGGACCUUGGGACCGGCACAAAGGCUCGUUUGCCGAGGACACAGCACAACAAUCUGACUAAAGGGACCUAAACCACUAAUCGUUUCGCGAUUAACUUCCAUUAAACGCUACUUAAUGAACAAAACUUUCGCGUCCUGCGACUAACCGCAAUCGUUCGCGUAUAGAAACGCAACGUAUAAGAAUUUGUUAAUCGACUUCCCAUUUAUUAUAAAAUAAACCUUCUCACUGGUUAAAUUAAAUUCCGUCAGAUCAAACGUUGCACUCGUGAUCCCGUGACUAAUAAUAGUAACGUGAAAUAGAUCACAAUAUAUGUAUAUAUACAAUAUAUAUAUAUUCUUCUCAAUAAGCUUAAUAUAUUCUUCUUCGUUCUACGAUAUAGUAAAACAUUGUCUCUUAGAAACUUAAAAGGUAAUUGCGUCGAUCGAAGGAAUUAUUUCUUGUUCUAUUAAUAACUCGUUGUUCGUAGUUUCUUUAACCGAGAAACAAUUAACCCAGGAUGACAGUUGUUUCAAUCAGCAAACGAUGUAUCGACAAAGAAGAAUA